rnacentral:piRNA from 1 species
UAACAGGCCCUGCUAAAUGAAGCUGC